UGAUGACGAGACGCUAAGGCGUUGAAGCAGUGUAUGUCAGACUUCCAAGAAAAGCUCGCAAUGUCACCAAUAAAAAAUGCCUGUACCAUAACCGACACAGGUGGGUAGGUAGAGUAUACUAAGGGGCGCGAGAUAACUCUCUCUAAGGAACUCGGCAAAAUGACUCCGUAACUUCGGGAGAAGGAGUGCCUUAUUUAUAAGGUUGCAAUAACAAGAUCCAAGCAACUGUUUAUCAAAAACACAGGUCUCCGCUAAGUCGUAAGACGAUGUAUGGGGGCUGACGCCUGCCCAGUGCCAGAAGGUUAAGGAAGUUGGUUAGUGUAUGCGAAGCUGAUGACUGAAGCCCUGGUGAACGGCGGCCGUAACUAUAACGGUCCUAAGGUAGCGAAAUUCCUUGUCGGGUAAGUUCCGACCCGCACGAAAGGCGUAAUGAUUUGGAUACUGUCUCGGAGAGAGGCUCGGUGAAAUAGACUUGUCUGUGAAGAUGCGGACUACCUGCACCAGGACAGAAAGACCCUAUGAAGCUUUACAGUAACUUGAAAUUGGAAUUGGACUUUGCUUGCGCAGUAUAGGUGGGAAGCGUUGAAAAUAUUCUUGCGGGAGUAUUGGAGCUAUCAGUGAGAUACCACUCUUGUAAUGUUAGAUUUCUAACUUUGAACCAUAAUCUGGUCAAAGAACAGUUUCAGGUGGGCAGUUUGACUGGGGCGGUCGCCUCCCAAAUGGUAACGGAGGCGUACAAAGAUUUCCUCUGAACGGAUAGAAAUCGUAUCUGGAGUGUAAAGGCAUAAGGAAGCUUGACUGUGAGACCUACAAGUCGAGCAGGGACGAAAGUCGGUCUUAGUGAUCUGACGGUACUGAGUGGAAAGGCCGUCACUCAACGGAUAAAAGUUACUCUAAGGAUAACAGGCUGAUCUCCCCCAAGAGUUCACAUCGACGGGGAGGUUUGGCACCUCGAUGUCGGCUCAUCGCAUCCUGGGGCGGUAGUACGUCCCAAGGGUUGGGCUGUUCGCCCAUGAAAGCGGUACGCGAGCUGGGUUCAGAACGUCGUGAGACAGUUCGGUCCAUAUCCGGUGUAGGCGCUAGAAUAUUGAGAGGAGCCUUCUUUAGUACGAGAGGACCGAGAAGGACACACCGCUGGUGUACCAGUUAUCGUGCCAACGGUAAACGCUGGGUAGCUAUGUGUGGAGUGGAUAACCGCUGAAAGCAUCUAAGUGGGAAGCCCACCUCGAGAUGAGUAUUC
rnacentral:rRNA from 1 species